rnacentral:rRNA from 1 species
UACGUAGGGGGCGAGCGUUGUCCGGAAUUAUUGGGCGUAAAGAGCUCGUAGGCGGUUCGGCAAGUCACGUGUGAAAUCUCCACGCCCAACGUGGAGGCGCCACGUGAGACUGCUGUGACUCGAGUCCGGUAGGGGAGCGUGGAAUUCCCGGUGUAGCGGUGAAAUGCGCAGAGAUCGGGAGGAACACCCGUAGCGAAGGCGGCGCUCUGGGCCGGUACUGACGCUGAGGAGCGAAAGCGUGGGGAGCAAACAGG